AAGAAGUCAGGCCGGAUUAAGCCAUAGUACGGUAAGAGCUAUGCUGCCUGUGAGCCCCGUCCAAGGACGUAAAAUGAAGUCAGGCCGAAAGCCACGGCUUGAGCAAACCGUGCUGCCUGUAGCUCCAUCGUGGGGAUGUAAAAACCUGGGAGGCUGCAACCCAUGGAAGCUGUACGCAUGGGGUAGCAGAC
rnacentral:lncRNA from 1 species